rnacentral:lncRNA from 12 species
CAGGUCCAACCCAACUUCUGUUGUCAGUCUGUGAAGCCAGGAAAAGCGAGGGAGACAAGAUGUUGCUGCCAACUCACUGGGAGAUGGUGCUGGAUUUGUGUGUGGACAGCAAUCCUAAGGCAUUGUCUGUACAGCUGGACAUCUCCCUCAUGAGACUGCUGAAGGAGCAAUGCUUGCAUUAUUGAAAGUGGUAUCCUGACAAUCCAGUUGUAUCUUAUUACAAGCAGAUUCCAGAGCAA